AAAAUGAGUCCAAAAGACCUAAAACCUACCGUGCUCCCCUACGUGGACAACAGGAAAGCCCUCCGGGGCAUAGGAAAUCUGAGAAGUUGAAGAACUGCGCCCCGGCGCAUGACCAAAACAAGAAAAUUA
rnacentral:misc_RNA from 1 species